AGCAGCCGCGGUAAUUCCAGCUCCAAUAGCGUAUAUUAAAGUUGUUGCAGUUAAAAAGCUCGUAGUUGAAUUUCGGGGUCAGUAGGUCGGUCGUGCCACAGGUAUGCACUGGUCUCACUGAUUCCUCCUUCCUGAUGAACCGUAAUGCCAUUAAUUUGGUGUUGCGGGGAGACUGGACUGUUACUUUGAAAAAUUAGAGUGUUUAAAGCAGGCUAACGCUUGAAUACAUUAGCAUGGAAUAACGGAAUAGGACGUUCGAUCUUAUUUUGUUGGUUUCUAAGAUUGACGUAAUGAUUAAUAGGGAUAGUUGGGGGCAUUAGUAUUCAAUUGUCAGAGGUGAAAUUCUUGGAUUUAUUGAAGACUAACUACUGCGAAAGCAUUUGCCAAGGAUGUUUUCAUUAAUCAAGAACGAAAGUUAGGGGAUCGAAGACGGUCAGAUACCGUCGUAGUCUUAACCAUAAACUAUGCCGACUAGGGAUCGGAUGAUGUUAAUUUUUAAUGACUCAUUCGGCGCCUUAAC
rnacentral:sRNA from 1 species